rnacentral:rRNA from 1 species
GAUGAACGCUGGCGGCGUGCUUAACACAUGCAAGUCGAACGGUGAAAGAGAGCUUGCUCUCUGGCUCAGUGGCGAACGGGUGAGUAACACGUGAGCAAUCUGCCCCUGACUCUGGGAUAAGCGCUGGAAACGGCGUCUAAUACCUGAUACGAGCUGCGAAGGCAUCUUCAGCAGCUGGAAAGAACUUCGGUCAGGGUUGAGCUCGCGGCCUAUCAGCUAGUUGGUGAGGUAACGGCUCACCAAGGCGUCGACGGGUAGCCGUCCUGAGAGGGUGACCGGCCACACUGGGACUGAGACACGGCCAAGACGCCUACGGGAGGCAGCAGUGGGGAAUAUUGCAAAAUGGGCGAAAGCCUGAUGCAGCAACGCCGCGUGAGGGAAGACGGCCUUCGGGUUGUAAACCUCUUUUAGCAGGGAAGAAGCGAAAGUGACGGUACCUGCAGAAAAAGCACCGGCUAACUACGUG